CACUUUUGAAUCAGUAUCCCUUGCUUUUAGGAAUUGAAUCGUAUCCUCUUUUUUCAACAAUUGAAUGGCACUUUCAGCAAUUGAAUUAGUCAAGAGAAGAUACACUUUAUAUAAAUUGCAUCUCUUCUGUCAGCCGAUUAAAACCCUAAAAUGUUGAACUCUCUCAAUCGGCGACCAACGCCUACCAGUAGAAGAUGUAGAUGACGACCAGGCAAAUAUCUAUAGAUUACACCUGCCUUCACUCAUAUCUCCCCCAUACAACUCUUGGGGCAACUGAUUGCACAACAACAGAUAUACAAUCGAGUUGCUUCGGGUCAAACACGAUCCAACGCCACAGUCAAACAGCCAUCUCUCUCACAACCACCGUUUCCCGUCAUUGCCAAGACCUACACAUGUUUGAUAACAUGAAAUCUACCUAAAAGAAUCCACCUUGAUCUCUUUAUCGCCCAAUCGGUUGUUUUUUCAAUUAGACAUAUGUUAUGCUGCUUUUUAGUUAUAAGAUAAUUGUUUGUGUUAUUAUUUUUGUCGUUGUGAUGAAAAUUUUGGAGCUCUGGAGAAGUCGGAGGGAUGAUUUAUAGAUUCCAGUGAGUCUGAUGUGUGUUUUAAAGCAAAGUAGGUUCACGAGUUCUGAUUUCUUUUUCUUUUUUUGUUGCAGGUUACUAGGUAAAAGUUUAGUAUUUUUUUAAUGUUAUUAGCAAAGCCCCUUUUGGUGUCGUAUCACCUCGACCAUUCCCGUCGUCUUCCUAUGAUUUAUGGUCGAGUCUUUAAAGGCCAUCCUUCAAUCUGGGUCAAAGUGAAACAUAUCAUAGUUGUGAAUGGAAAGCUGUUGAUGGGCAAAAUUGGCAGAAACAAGUAUGGAAGCGGGCUUUUGACAUACAUUUUUCUUAAUUUUCUCGUGUUUUGUGCUUGGAUUUAACCCUCUUUCUUGUGUUUGGUUAUUAUUGUCAAGAAAAUAUACAUGGACUUUAAGGUGUACUCUGGAUACUGUUUUUGCUACUGAUGAAAGUGUAUUUUUGACAUACAUUUUUUCUAAUAUUCCUAUGUUUUGUUCAUACAUAUGGUUGAAUAUCACAAAUCAGUUAUUUGAUGUUUUCAUCCCUUUGGAAGUGAAAUAUCAAUAUUUGUUAAGUUGUAUGAUUAUUGUUGUAGUUUUCUUAUUUCCAUCGUUAAUGCUUAAUACACUUGAAAUCUUGAAUCUUGAUAGGCUACAUGUGAGAAUCUGACUAGAAAGAGAAGAAUUAUGAUGAUCUGAGGGUUCUUCUAUUGAAUUCUUGAAGUAUGUACAUUUUUUACACUUACAAACACUAAAACUGGAGCUUUUUACUUCAUCACAAGCUGCUUUUUAUCACCUUUUUGUUUUGAUUACUUUUUUUUUAUAUUUAGUUAUCAGGGGUUUAUUUAUUGUUCAAAUGCAAAUAACAAAAAACUAUUAAGUUUUUUUUUUAUUCCUGUUGAAGUAUUGGUGCCUCACGAAAGCAAAUUGUUAUUUACAGGUAAGUGUUUUUUUUUUAUUUUAUUUUUUAAAUUCCGGUUAAAAUAUUGAAAUUUGCUCAUAUGCAGGUAAGUACAUGCAGGGACGGAGGAUUGAGACAGUUUGCCUCUAUUUGAUAAUCAUUAAGUUUAUUCUCAUAUAUGGUUCAUUUGUGAAUAAUAUUCUUGGUAUUAUUGGAUCCAUAUCUUAAUUAUGCAGUAUAGUUAAUGUUGCAUUGCAUAAGCUCUGUUAUGAUUGAUUAAGACACCAGUUGUUUUCAUAAUGGUUUUUUUUUUUUUUUUGAAAGAAACCAAUAAAAUGAUGAAAUUGUGCAUAAAUUAAUAUGAUGGAGUUAAA
rnacentral:lncRNA from 1 species